AACGAACGCUGGCGGCAGGCCUAACACAUGCAAGUCGAACGCUCCGCAAGGGGGAGUGGCGCACGGGUGAGUAACACGUGGGAACCUACCUUCUGGUACGGAACAACCAAGGGAAACUCUGGCUGAUACCGUAUACGACCUCCGGGUGAAAGAUUGAUCGCCGGAAGAGGGGCCCGCGUCCGAUUAGGUAGUUGGUGAGGUAACGGCUCACCAAGCCUGCGAUCGGUAGCUGGUCUGAGAGGAUGACCAGCCACACUGGGACUGAGACACGGCCCAGACUCCUACGGGAGGCAGCAGUGGGGAAUAUUGGACAAUGGGCGCAAGCCUGAUCCAGCCAUGCCGCGUGAGUGAUGAAGGCCUUCGGUUG
rnacentral:rRNA from 1 species